AUACGUAGGGGGCGAGCGUUGUCCGGAUUCAUUGGGCGUAAAGAGCUCGUAGGCGGCCUGAUAAGUCGGGUGUGAAAUCUCCAGGCUCAACCUGGAGAGGUCAUUCGAUACUGUCAUGGCUAGAGUCCGGUAGGGGACCACGGAAUUCCUGGUGUAGCGGUGAAAUGCGCAGAUAUCAGGAGGAACACCGGUGGCGAAGGCGGUGGUCUGGGCCGGCACUGACGCUGAGGAGCGAAAGCGUGGGUAGCAAACAGGAUUAGAUACCCCGGUAGUCCUGGCCCUAAACGAUGAAUGCUUGGUGUGGCGGGUAUCGAUCCCUGCCGUGCCGAAGCUAACGCAUUAAGCAUUCCGCCUGGGGAGUACGGUCGCAAGGCUGAAACUCAAAUGAAUUGACGGGG
rnacentral:rRNA from 1 species